AUGUGAGGUCAUUGAUCACACUAUUGUUGAUUGCUCGUCCGUUUUCAAUGUUGACGAUGACACUGACGAUGACAUCCAUGUUGGAAUGUCGGCUUCUAAGCGAUAUCGCAGGUCUUUCAUGAGUAACACAAAUGAUGAUUUUGUUGAAGAAAUUUCUGGUGAAAUUGAUGGAAAUUCAAGUGUUGUCAAAGUGGAAAAGGAUUGAGAAUUGCUUUGUUCAGUAGCGUGUUGCUACUUAAAUAAUUUGAUGUGUUGUUUGAAUAUCUAUGAAUCACUAUAUAAGUGUUUCUGUUUUGUAUUUCAGAUGUGUUUAUUAGGUUGUUCAGGUUUGUUUAUUCAAACCUUAAGUUUUAUUUGUUAGUUGAACGGUUUAUUUUAGAAUAGUGGGUAUUGUGGUUUAAUUUAUGUGUAAUGUCGUCCUCUGUAUUUGCUCUGUUUAACUAUAUCAUAUUAGAUUAAAUGUUUAUGUAUCAAGUGUUUGUAUGAUAUUUUUAGUUGGGUUGAA
rnacentral:lncRNA from 1 species